rnacentral:tRNA from 1 species
UAAUGAAAGAAUUAGUUAAAUUAACAUUAGUAUGUCAAGCUAAAAUUAUUAGUUCUAAUCUAAUAU